rnacentral:rRNA from 1 species
ACUGAAUAGAUACCCGGGUAGUCCACGCUGUAAACGAUGAGUGCUAGAUGCCGGAUUUUUUCGGUGUCGCAGCUAAACGCAUUAAGCACUCCACCUGGGAAGUACGAUCGCAAGGUUGAAACUCAAGGGAAUUGACGGGGGCCCGGCACAAGCAGUGGAGCAUGUGGUUUAAUUCGAUGCAACGCGAAGAACCUUACCUAGGCUUGAAAAGCUUAUGACCGGCUGUGAAAGCAGCUUUCCCGCAAGGGCAUAAGUACAGGUGCUGCAUGGCUGUCGUCAGCUCGUGCCGUGAGGUGUUGGGUUAAAGUCCCGCAACGAGCGCAACCCUUACCAUUAGUUGCCACCGGAGCAAUCCGAGCACUCUAAUGGAACUGCCUACGCAAGUAGUGAGGAAGGUGAGGAUGACGUCAAGUCCGCAUGGCCCUUACGCCUAGGGCUACACACGUGCUACAAUGGCCGCCACAACGGGCAGCAAAAACUCGCGAGAUGGAGCGAAUCCCUAAAAAG